UCUCCUACCUCAGCCUCCCAGAGUGCUGGGAUUAUAAACCUGUGCCUCUUGGUCCAGUUUCUUUUUUAAAAUGCUGGAAAGGAUCCAGGGAAGCUGCAUCAUUUUUAGAUAGGAGAUGACAUCACUUCCCAACUUGCUUAGGAGGCCUAAAGUCUUGCUCUAUUCUUGGUCUAGCACCUCACUUUCCAUUCUCUUUACAACCUAUUGUCCUUUUUUGUACUUAGCCUAGCAGGACCUGGGGGGCCCAGCUUGAAAAAGGAUGUUAGCAUCCCCUCCCUUCUGCCGACCUACCUCCUCUUGUAGCAACCUGGCGCCCCCUCGACAACUCAUGGCCAUCUUCUCACCCGUGGAGGACUUGUGUUCCUGUCUGUCCUCUGCCACACAGGCAAAGCUCCCUUGUGACUGAAGCAGAAGAGAAGGGCCUGAUGCUCCCCGUAAGCAAGCUGCAGUCAUGGGUCAAUCCCAGAUGACUCUCCCCUGCAGCCUCUCUGGAUGACUAUUUCUCUACAGCCACUUCAGAUAUCCUCACUCUGGUCCAGGAGGAGCUCCUGGCCUACCCAUGACUGAGCAGAAAGUCUGCAGCUACCUGGCAGGACACUGCGUGUGUGGGCCUGCCUUCUAUUGUCUAUAUGAGAAUAGUGCAUGUACUGCUUUC